rnacentral:rRNA from 1 species
AAAUGAAUAGACGGGGGCCCGCACAAGCAGUGGAGCGUGUGGUUUAAUUCGAGGCAACGCGCAGAACCUUACCAGGGUUUGACAUCAUACUGACGUCUGUAGAAACACAGAUUUCCGUUUAGGCGGACGGUAUGACAGGUGUUGCAUGGUUGUCGUCAGCUCGUGUCGUGAGAUGUUGGGUUAAGUCCCGCAACGAGCGCAACCCCUAUCCAAUGUUGCCAACAGGUAAAGCUGGGGACUCAUUGGAGACUGCCGGAGACGAUCUGGAGGAAGGUGGGGAUGAGGUCAAAUCAUCAUGGCCCUUAAGCCCUGGGCUACACACGCGCUACAAUGGCCGGUACAACGGGCAGCGAAGGAGCGAUCUGGAGCGAAUCCCAAAAAGCCGGCCCCAGUUGGAAUCGCAGGCUGCAACCCGCCUGCGUGAACAUGGAAUUGCUAGUAAUCGCGAAUCAGCUACGUCGCGGUGAAUACGUUCCCGGGCCUUGUACACACCGCCCGU